rnacentral:tRNA from 1 species
CGGGUAGUAGCUCAGUGGUAGAGCUUUCGCUUUAUGUGCGGAAAGGCGUGAGUUAGAUUCCCGGCUGCCUCC